UUUUUUGAGAUAGUGAUGGUGAAAGAAUUCUUCCUGUUCUCCACAUAUUAGUACGGUAUCAGGUUCUGUGGUAGGGCAGAAGUUCAGUCCCUUAGAGAGUAGAGAGAAUUCAGCUCCAGUGAGGCACUGUGUUGAUAAAUUAAUGAUGAUUGGGUAUUGUGUAGUGUCCUUGUGGUGAAUUCUGGUGCCAUGGUUUCCCCUGGAAAGUGGUGGUCUGAGGGUUGUGGAGUAGUUAUAGUUGGUUCCACUUUUUGUUUUUGUGUUGAAUGGCUGUCAUCAGCAGGUGGUUUUGUUUGUUUUUGAUAGUUGUUUUGGAUUUCUUGCAUGAUUUCCAGGCAAUUUUCAAAAUACUUACAAGUAUUCUUUUGGAAGGAUUGGUAUUGGAUUUAUGGAGAUGUAUAAUCUCCAUGCAUAAGGGCCAACCUGGAAGAAAGUGAAAAGGUAUCUGCAGGAGAAGCAGGUGAUCAAAGCUGGCAUUACUGGCAAAGCAAAGGGAGUAGUAGACAAUGUCGUAGAUUGUAAAUUCUGUGGGACAGCGCCUGUGCUUAGCUCAAGUUUAUUCAGUACCUUGCAGUGAGGCUCUGAUCCUGAUGUCUCUUGGCAGUGCCAUAAUAUAAUUUUUUAAUAAUAAUAAUAAAACUUUACUUAGGCCUGGUCUACACUACACUGUUGGGUUGACGUAAGGCAGCUUACAUUGACCUAAUUAUGUCAGUGGACAAACUACAGCCUUGUCCCACUGUUGUAAAUGACCUAUUACACCAACAUAAUUCCAUCUCCAUAAGAGGUGUAGGGCUUAUGUUGGUGUAGUUAGGGCGACACAGUAUCUGUGUAGACACUGUGUUACUUACUUUAGCUGUUGGUUGUCUUGCCAAUUUCAAGGCUCCAUGCUGGAGCCAGCUCCCCACUCCAAGCUGGCCUGCUGCCUGGAGGCUCCUUGCUCUGGAAGGUGAGAAACCUGGGCAGCUGUCAGCGGGCAAGCGAGAGCUGGACUCCAGGUGGGGAGCAGUGCAGAGGUCUCUCAGCCCCCCCCACUGCUUCUCUUUAGUCUGUGAGGAUGUGCACCAUUGACAGAAGGAAGGUAGUGUGGACAUCAGCCACUGCAGUAAUUACUGCGGUGGCUAUAGGUCAACCUGUGCUGUAGUGUAAACAUGCCCAUAGAAAAUACUUUGCUCUUAAUAAUAUUGUUUUAAUUGUGGUUUAGAUUUUAUUCACGCUGCACUCACUAGCCCCAUUUUUUUUUUGUUGCCAUGAAACUUGAAAAGCUAUGCCAUGUUAUCCUUUCAUGAAAGAGAUGUUGUACAAUUGUGAAUUGCUGAAUUUAAACAAUUACAACAACUUUACAGAAUGUUAACUCCUUAAACUAUCUUCUCAACUAUUAAGACAUUAAGAAUUUGUUUCUACUUAUUUAAAAAUGGUUCUUAAAAGUUUUCAAGUAGGUUGUAUCUUUCAGUCUGUUAAUUAUUUGUGAAGAGUCAUUGCUGUAUGUUAAUGGUUUACAGAUAAAUAAGACUCUCUGCUCCAGAGUUAUUAGGAUCUGAUUUUCAAAAGCUCUGAAAAUUGAAGCCAAUGAAAGGUGUAAUUGCUCAGCACCUCUGAAAUCAGACCAUACUAAAAUUAGGUGAAAUACAGGCAAAGGAGAGAGUGCAUCUUUAAAAGAAGUGAGAGUUGCGUUGAUAAGAGAGGACAUAAAUCUAGUUAACGGGUAAAAUUUUCAAAAGUGCCCAUGUCAAAUGGAAGCUUAGGCUCCUAAAUCAGUUAGGUGGGAUUUUCAAAAGCACCUGUUUUAAUUUAAUACCUUGUAUUUCUGAUGUGAUAGGAGGUUAGUUAGCUAAUGAGGGUGACGCAUGAGAACAGAGUUGAGUAGGUAAUUGUGGGAAGGAAGCCAAAAGUGAGCCUUUAGGAGUGACUCAAAAGAGAAGGAGGUUGCUUGGUGCACUGGUGGAAGGACACUGUUCUAAGUGUUGGAAACAGUGUGGGAAAAUGUGUAUAAAAUUACCUAUGAUUCUGACCAACUGGGAAAUGCUUCAGGAUUCCCUAGAUAGGAUACACCUUCUAUUUUCAUAGAUGACAACAGUUUUUACAUUUUUUACAAGUCUUAAAGUGUUUUGUAUACUUUCUUAAUUGCUGAAGACUCCAUUAUUCUGAUUCCCCCAAUCACACUGCCAUCUUCAAUUCCUCUUUAGCCUUCCCCCCCCCCCCCACAAAAGUUCCCUGUCUAGGCUCUUUCCAAAUUUUUUGUGUUCUUCAAUAUUCAAAACAAAACAACUUUCCCUACCAAUUGCUAAAAACCUUGGUACGUGCCUUAUCUCACUGUGACUACUGAAAUGUCUAUAGUGCUGCUUCUCUGACCAUAUUGUUGCCCUCUUUUUCAAAUAAUUUUCCUGGCUUAGUCUUUAAGCCUAAAUUGCUCUUCCUCACACUCAAGACUCAUGACAGCCUCACCUACAUCUCAACUUGUGAUUUCCUCCUACACCCCGUCUCUUGCUCUGUGCUCGCUUUAUAGUCUCCUCCCACUCAUUACUUUGUACCUCUUUUCGUGACUUUCUCUAUACUAUGAACAUCCUUUCUCUUCUGUGUACUAUAAAAACUCCUCUUUCAAAUCCUUCGUGGACUUCAGUUCCUAAUCUCUUCUAUUGUGCAGUUCUCAUACAGCCAGAUCCUUAAUCAUUAUAUGAGUUAUAUCAUUCUAAUUUAGAUUUUACCUUAGGACUAGGACCUUGUUUAUAAGGUACCUUGUAUACCUGUGCCACUAUAUAGAUAACUUUUAGGAGGGUUAUAAAGAUUAACUCCUUUAAAAAAAAGUUUUCAGCAUUUGCCAAGAACUCGGAAACGUCAGCAAGAAAUAGAGAGGUCUGUGUGGGUCAUGUCAUUGCAGUGGUAGAUAAUAUGGAAUGCUGUUUUGAUAAUGCAAGUCACAAGAGAAUAAAAAAGUACUUCAAUCAGGCUGCAUUAACUCCUUAGUGCUGGGAGUUGGGGUUUCCUUGCAUCACACAAUUUUGGUGUGAAACUGUGACGGGUUGUCUCUAAUGACUUCCGCUGAGCUACAAAGGGGUAUAUUUAACAAAAACUGUUUAAACCAGCCUUCAAACCAAUCAUAAAAACGUACCUGUCCAGGCAAAAUUUCUACAAGCCUAUCUGUUAGUAUAAUUAUGGUUACAUUAAAAACUGAUUUACUUGCCAACCAAAAAUAUUACUCUAUUUGGAUAAGUAGCGUUUUUUCAAGAGUGGUGGAAAGUAAUCUUCUCAUGUUCUUUCAGUUCACCAGUUUUGAUCUGGGAUCUGUGUGUUAUAGGGAGAGCUGAUAGCAAGCUUGUAUUUAGGUUUACUAAUACUUUCCACUGUAAAAAAGUUUACAUAAAUUUUUAAGAAGUUUGGAUCUCUCUGUUUGCAGCAGACCUUGAAGAUUCCUGACCUAGAGAAGUUCAUAUUAUUUGUUCCAUGUAACUCUUCUCCUGGCAUCAGUGGUAGGAGCCCCCCCCGCCCCCCCUCAGAAUUGGGAGGAAAGGAAACUAGCCAGGGAUUCCCCUGAUCAUUCUUGGAUGUAGCCCAUUUCUUCCAUCCCUGCUUUCCCAAAUAACAGCUGCUUUCUGCUGUCAAACAGUGCAGGUAGUUCUGUAGCUCAAGAUUCAGGAUUCAAACUCUGAUGAAGAUACACGAUGGAGUGGUUGUUCCAGAUGCAUAUAAUAGGAUUUGUGUUUACCUUAUUUCCUAGGAAAUUAUAUUUUAAAAAAAUACUACGUUAAGAGUUAUUUAGGUUGUAAAGUCAAGCACCUCAAAAGUUGGGAAAUGAUAGGAUUAUGAUUGCCUGUGCAGUCUUAAAUCUGCCCGCUUGUGUGUGUGCAUUAUGCUACCGUCUUUAAUUGCAUGAUCAUGUUACUUUUUCUAUAGGACCCCGUCUUUAUUCAAUGCACAGGUUGGACAUCUAAGGAGGCAGGAUUAAGGUUACAUGGGCAACCAUACAUCUGGCAUUUUUGUAUGUAAUUAUUUUUGGUCAUAUAUAAAUAGUGGCUCAACCAAUGUUUUAUUUCAUUUGAAAGCCACUAAGAAGCGCACAGCUCUUUGACACAGCCAUUUUUUAAUAUUGUUCCAUUUAACCUGGAAUCUAAACAGGAUUGGAAUUCAUAUCUUCAAAAGUAAAAGAUUAGUGAAUAAGCUGACAGCACUAUUUAGUCACUGAAAGCAACCUAAAUAUUUUGUAGUCUUAAUUCAUAAUCUCUAAUGAGCACAUUGAAAGUAAUCGUAGAUGGUAGCCAAAAUAUGUAUUGACAAUUGUGAUGGGUUUCCCCUGGGGUGUCACUUGAAACUAGGGUACCACUGAGCCCGCCUGCCCCACUAGCCUGGGUUCCCUUUACACUCCUGCUGAGGCAAGCCAGUAAAGCCCUCCCUCAGGCUUCAAACUGCACUUUACCAGCACACACACAAGUAGGGACACGCCUAGCUGCAGUUUAACACAGAUACUGAGAUCAGCUGUACAUGGGAAAGCUUAGCUAAGGAAUUGCCCAGCACUCAAGUGCACCCUCCCCCCCCGGAGUAUAAAUCCAAAACUGUAUCAUCUUGCAAUGCACAGAAAACUAUACAGCGUAUGCUUGUUGAAAUUCGCACCCUCCCUCAUUGUGGAGGAAGAUAUGCACAGCUUUUUGCCCCCCUCCCCCAGUUAUGAAUGCCACAAACUGAUUUUAGAGAAAACGAAAGCAAGUUUAUUAAGUACACAAGAUAGAUAGAUUUUAAGUGAUUAUAAGGGAUAGCAAACAGAUCAAAGCAGAUUACUUAGCAAAUAAAGCAAACAUGCAGUCUAAGCUUUAAGAUACCAGAGAAACUGGUUACAAGUAGCACAUUCUCACCCUACAUGUUGUUUUAGGCAGAUUGCAGAGAUUCUUGAAGGCAAGCUGGUCUUACUUGCAGCUUAAAACUUCAGAUAUUUAAUUCACAGGCUAGACACACUUCCAGCCUGGGCUCAGUCUUUCUCCCCCAGCCUUGUUUUUGUUUCUUAGAUGUUUACUGCAGUCAUCCUGGGCGGGGAUUCAGUGACAAAAGAACCACGAUUAUGUCACUCCCCUGCCUUAAAUAGGUUUUACAUAUGGCAGGAAUCCUUUGUCUUCUAGUGAGAUUCCCACCCCUGGUUAGUGGAAAAGUACUAAUUUUAUCAUGGAGUCCAGUAUCAGGGGACUUGAUCACAUGACUCUGCAUCCAUAACUCAAAGUUUAUUUGCAGUGUCCACAGGAAGGCUAUCCAGGAAUGUGGAAAAUCAGCAUCUUCAAAGACCUAUUGCUUUCUGACCAGUGGGUGUUUUCCAGGUGUAAACACAUUUGUAAUAGGUUCAUAGACAAUAUUCCUAACUUCAGAUACAAAAAUGAUGUAUGUAUACAAAUGAUCGUAUUCAG